rnacentral:rRNA from 1 species
CCUACGGGGGGCAGCAGUGGGGAAUAUUGGACAAUGGGGGCAACCCUGAUCCAGCCAUGCCGCGUGUGUGAAGAAGGCCCUCGGGUUGUAAAGCACUUUCAGUGAGGAAGAACGCCUGGUGGUUAAUACCCAUCAGGAAAGACAUCACUCACAGAAGAAGCACCGGCUAACUCCGUGCCAGCAGCCGCGGUAAUACGGAGGGUGCGAGCGUUAAUCGGAAUUACUGGGCGUAAAGCGCGCGUAGGUGGCUUGAUGAGCCGGUUGUGAAAGCCCCGGGCUCAACCUGGGAACGGCAUCCGGAACUGUCAAGCUAGAGUGCAGGAGAGGAAGGUAGAAUUCCCGGUGUAGCGGUGAAAUGCGUAGAGAUCGGGAGGAAUACCAGUGGCGAAGGCGGCCUUCUGGACUGACACUGACACUGAGGUGCGAAAGCGUGGGUAGCAAACAGGAUUAGAUACCCGAGUAGUC